AGGAAAGCACAAGAAAUGGCUCUAGGCCUUAAUUUGUCCCUUUGAGGAAUAGGGACAGUGGCAUAGGCAAGGCACCCAAAUGCUCUCAAAUGAGAAUAGGUUGGAGCUUUCCCAUACAAAAUUUCAUUAGGAGACUUGUUGUGAAGCAAUCUGGAUGGUAUUCUGUUUAGGAGGUAAGUGGCGGUCAUUAAAAAGUCCCCCCAGAAAGACACAGGUAGUCCAGAUUGGAAAAGUAAAGCUCUACAUGUUUCAAGGAGGGUUCUAUGCUUUCUUUCGACAACACCAUUCUGUUGAGGAGAAUGAGGGCAGGUGGUUUGAUGAAUAAUCCCUUGGCUACUAAAAAAAGAGACACCCUAAAUUCUAGACCCCAAUUCUAAAGCGUUGUCACUUUUAACAGUUUGAACCACAACAUUAAAUUGGGUUUUAACCAAACACAGGAAUGAUUUAGGCAAAGAAAAAGCAUUGCUUUUAGAUCCCAUUAAGUGUGUCCAGGUUUCCCUAGAGAAGUCAUCAACUAUUGUAAGGAAAUAUCUACAACCAGAAGAAGUAGGAGUAUGAUAAGGCCCCCAAGUAUCCACAUGAAUUAAUUGAAAAGGUCUAGGGAAAUAUCUACAACCAGAAGAAGUAGGAGUAUGAUAAGGCCCCCAAGUAUCUACAUGAAUUAAUUGAAAAGGUCUGGAGGUGCUUAUAGAACUAUCAGGAAAUGAGAGUCUAGUCUAUCUUGCCAUAGGACAG
rnacentral:lncRNA from 1 species